rfam:Salmonella enterica subsp. enterica serovar Typhimurium str. LT2, complete genome.
AUCUUAAGAAUUUCUUUUGAUAUUCAAUGUGCGACAGGAAGAAUAAGGCGUAGUCGUCAUCCGUUGCUAAUGCCCCACCUUUUUGCUAUUCAUCUGAAAAACCAGCACAAUCGUUGCUGGUUUUUUGGUUGU